CGGGCUUUAAAAAGAAAAAACACACAAUUGAUGAUUGAACUUCACUAUGAUUCUAAGUCAAGUGCAUUGUACGUGCAUAGCAUGUGUUUUGUUGAUAAAAGAAGACAAACAUAAGUGACUUCAUGUGCAACUUUAGAAAGUGGAAACAUGAGAGAAGCUGUAAAGCUACCAGUCGAGGAGGAUAUAAAUUAAUGCUUGUCGCCAUCACUG
rnacentral:lncRNA from 1 species